rnacentral:lncRNA from 1 species
AUCGCUGCCUAUAUCCUUCUCUGUGUCGUUGAUAUGUUCUACCCACUCUGGAGAGGCUUGCACAUAAACUCUUGCUUGAUGUUUAUCUUUUCCUUUAUAGUUUUCAGCUUCACACUCAUAAAGUCCUUCAUCUUCAUACUGAAUAUUAAAGAUCUUAAGAACUGCACCAGACAUGCUUAUCUCAGCAGUGGCUGGCAUAGGUUCAAGGUAUUUAC